rnacentral:lncRNA from 1 species
GUUAUUUUGAAAACCAACUUUUACCUAAUAACGUUAUUAUUGGAUUAACAACGAUUAUUAAAAUUCUUACUCCUUUUGGAAGGUGUAGGCACCUGAAAAUUAUUUAUUUAUAAAGUGCUUGGUAUAUUUAUUUUACAAAAGUAAACUUACAUACCAAUUUGACAUUUUAAGGAAUAUAUCCAAUAAACAAAAUUACAAAGACGGAUCUAUUGAUUAUCCAAAAUAACAAUAAAAAAUAUAACCAGAGAAAAUAUAGACAAUAAACUAACAACACACGUAUCUACCAUGUACACAAAAUUAAUUGAAGUACAUAUUGAUACGAUGACAAGAUAAAAUUAAAUGUCAACAGUAGUGGGCCAGCUUAAGCUUCUCCUUAACUUUUGACACAGGCUUAGCCAAGCAAAAGCUUAAGUAGCUGUUGAAAUACCGGCCCUUAAUGAUCAAACAUAAUUAGGUUACGCCCAAGGCUGUGUUGGUAGUCCUAAGCCAAUUCAAGUUAUUUAUUAAUUUCAUUUAUUCGAUUUUAGUCAGAUUGAAAGUACAAUUAUUCCAACGAAUAUUUGCAUGUGCAUGAAAUUAUUAACAAAUUACUUUUUAUACUAGGUCUCCUUUUUACUCACAGAAUCUAAAAUCGCAAAAUUAGGCCGCUUGUCCAUAAAAACCACAAUAAAUUAAACAAGUAUACGCGAUAAGGCAUUUUGAUACAUUAUUUACGAAGAAUUUUGACGUUUAUUAUUUUCAAUGACAUUGGCGCAUUGCGCAUUAGUUAAACUUUUAGUCUUUGUUUGUAUACUUCACUGUCAUUUUUUAUUUUCAAACAGUAUUGUUGGAGCGACUAAUUUUUGCUCCCUUAUUUGACUACUUCCGAUAUUUAUUUAUUUAUUUACGGGCCUUACCCAUUAUUAACAAGUUUAUUUAUUUUUAAGCUAAUGAGACAAGCAAUAUUUUGUAACCUACAAAUUGUCAUUAUACUACAUGAGUCUGGCUAUAGUUCGGACGGAAACUUAUUCAUUUAUUUUCGAGAUUACUGUUUAACUUUUUGUUUUUUUUUUAGAUUUAUUUAUUACCGUUCUAUAUUUAUCUUUAUAUUAUUAGUAUCAAGCUGUUUAAUGUUAACUCCAUCAAUCUCCUCAAUAGUCAAAACAGAUCAAACACUUGAAUAAAAUAACUUUAUAAA